AUUGAACGCUGGCGGCAGGCCUAACACAUGCAAGUCGAGCGGAGGGGCAGACGGGGGCGUAAUGCCUAGGUAUCUGCCUGUGCGUGGGAGAUAACGUCAGGAAACGGGCGCUAAUACCGCAUACUAUCAGAUGAGCCUCGGUCGGAAUAGCUAGUUGGUGGGGUAAAGGCCUACCAAGGCGACGAUCCGUAACUGGUCUGAGAGGAUGAUCAGUCACACUGGAACUGAGACACGGUCCAGACUCCUACGGGAGGCAGCAGUGGGGAAUAUUGGACAAUGGGCGAAAGCCUGAUCCAGCCAUGCCGCGUGUGUGAAGAAGGUCUUCGGAUUGUAAAGCACUUUAAGUUGGGAGGCGUUACCAGCAGAAUAAGCACCGGCUAACUUCGUGCCAGCAGCCGCGGUAAUAC
rnacentral:rRNA from 1 species